rnacentral:sRNA from 2 species
GAGCGAGAAUCGCCGAAUCCGACAUGCUCUAGUCGGUACGGGGGACGCAACACCUUGGGGUGAAUCCAAUCUUUGGAGGGGCUACCUUUCAGCCCUAACCCGUCAACUAACCUCGGAGGCGCACCAGAAAGGGGCC